rnacentral:rRNA from 1 species
UACGGGAGCAUGAAGGGUGCACGGUGGAUGCCUUGGCCUAGAGCGGCGAUGAAGGACGUGAUUAGCCUGCGAUAAGCUUCGGGGAGGCGGCUAUUAGCCUGUGAUCCGGAGAUGUCCGAAUGGGGAAACCCCUCUACUUCUAGUAGAGAUCCGUGGAGUCAUGUCCACGAGAAGCGAACCCGGGGAAGUGAAACAUCUCAGUACCCGGAGGAAAAGAGAACAAUAGGAAUGUGUCUCCGUGCGCACAUGCUUGUGCGUAUGGAGACCCAUUCCACGUCAUUCCCCAAGUAGCGGCGAGCGAAAAGGGAGAAGCCCAAACCGUACUCUUCGGAGGACGGGGUUGUAAGGUAUGGACGUCUAGCUUGCUAGAGAAGAGUUACCAAUCGUCAUCAUAGCCGAAGCUGCUGGGAAGCAGCGCCCCAGAGGGUAAUGGCCCCGUAGGCGAAAUGCUGACGACUCUUUUGUCCAUAUUCUUGAGUAGUUCGAGACAUGAAUAGCUCGAAUGAAUCUGCCGGAACUAACCGGUAAGGCUACAUACGCUCUAUGACCGAUAGCGAACUAGUACCGUGAGGGAAAGGUGAAAAGCACCCCGAGAGGGGAGUGAAAUAGAACUGAAACCGUGCACUUACAAAGGGUCGGAGCCCGUUCCCGCAAGGGAGGGUGACGGCGUGCCUAUUGAAGAAUGAGCCUGCGAGUGUAUCUACGUCGCGUGUCUAAGGGGUUACGCCCCGGAGGCUAAGCGAAAGCGAGCGUUAAUAGCGCGUCUGCGGCGUCGAUACGACCCGAAGCCAGGUGAGCUUGCCAUGAGCAGGGUGAAGGUUGCCGAAAGGCAGCUGGAGGCCCGAACCCGUUCGUCGUACAACGCGUUGGGAUGACUUGUGGUAAGGAGUGAAAAGCUAAUCGAACCUGGGAAUAGCUGGUUCUCUCCGAAACAGCUUUUGGGCUGGCGUCGCCAUAUGCGCAGUGGGGGGUAGAGCACUGGAAGGGGCCAACAGGGAGAAAUCUCGUGGUCCCUAUCAAACUCCGAAUACCCGCUGCUCGGGCGGCAGUUAGAAGGUGGGGGCGAAGCUCCAUCGAUCGAGAAGGGAAGAGCCUAGAUCGCCAGUUAAGGCCCCAAAAUCGACGCUCAGUACAUCACAAGGAAGUGCGGAUUCACUGACAGCGAGGAUGUUGGCUUAGAAGCAGCCACCAUUCAAAGAAAGCGUAACAGCUCACUCGUCGAGAGUCCGUGCGCCGAAGAUGAUCGGGGUUAAGCGUCGUGCCGAAACUGCGGGUUUGCCGCGUACGUGUACGCGGCAAGCGGUAGGAGAGCGUUCUGUUCGCGAUGAAGCCGCAGGGGUGACCCGCGGUGGAGCGUUCAGAAGUGAGAAUGCAGGUACAAGUAACCACAAUGCGGGUGAGAACCCCGCACGUCGAAAGACCAAGGUUUCCGGAGCUAUGGUGAUCAUCUCCGGGUUAGUCGGGCCUAAGGGGAUGGCGAGAGCCGCACCCGAUGGACACACGGUCAAUAUUCCGUGACCGUUCGUAAGGCGAAGGAGUGACGGACUGCUGUAGCUGCCGCCCAUUAUUGGAUUUGGGUCGGCGCGGUGAGCGCGCGUGGUAGGCAAAUCCGCCACGCACUAGCGCGAGCCGCGACGCAAUUUCCUCCUACGGGGGGAGAGAGGGCAGCGAGCGCGGUUCCAAGAAAACCUCCUAGCAUUCAACUUGCGAACGACCGUACCGCAAACCGACACAGGUGGUCAGGGCGAGUAGCCCAAGACGAACGAGUGAGAGAUCCUCAAGGAACUCGGCAAACAAGCGGCCGUAAGUUCGCGAUAAGGCCUGCCCCUUCGCCCGCAAGGGCGGCGGGGCCGCAGCGAAAGAUUGCCUGGCAACUGUUUACCAAAAACACAGCUCCCUGCGAACUCGUAAGAGGAAGUAUAGGGGGUGACGCCUGACCGAUGCCGGUAGGUUAAGUACGGGCGGUACAUGCUUUCGGGUAUGUGCUGGACUGUAUAUGCCCCGGUGAAUGUCGGCGAUAACUAUGGACGAUCGUAGUUAUAAAAUUCAGCUAAAUGCGGGAAACUCUGGUUAGGACUCCGCGCUACUCGGGAUGAAAGACUCCCUGUAACAAUGCGCGAGUGCAGACAAUCCGCAGGAAAGACCCAACAUGAAAAACAUCAACGACAUACCGCCCCAUAUAGGGUGGUACAUCGCAGGAUUCGUAGACGGAGAAGGGAGCUUCAACGUUUCCUUCCGUCAGCGGCCUGAUCAUACGAUCGGGUGGCAGACGGUACUAACGUUCAAUGUCGCGCAACGCGACAAGACCGUGCUCGCGCUUAUGAAGCAGCACCUUGGGUGCGGUCGACUGCAAGCGCGACGCGAUGGCGUCUGGUACUACGUCGUGGCGAAUCCGCGAUCCAUAGAAGAGCGGAUCAUUCCGUUCUUCGAGCGGUUCGGAUUCUUGUCCGCUAAAUCCAAGAAGAACUUCAAACUCUUCAAGGACAUCGCGCACCAGGUGUUUCAGAAGAAGCAUCUGACACGGCAAGGGCUCGAAGAGAUAGCGCAACUUCGCGAACUUCUGAACGAAGGUCGCGGCAGGAAGCGCAAAUAUACCAUCGAGCAUAUCGUUGGCGAUGGGGUUGGGAAUCCUCAGAGACUACACGCUGAACUGGGCGAGAGCUCAGAUGAUAUAGUCCGAACUCACGGGCGAUCGUGAGAGUUGCCGCUUCGCGGCAGAGUAACAAAGUGAAUCGUCCUAAGGUCUCACGCUCGACGACAGUCGAACGUGGGAGGAUUGGGACCCAUUAUAGUCGGUAAAUAGGUUGCGCUAUUCGAAGCUACCUUCCGGUAUAGCAAUGUACCGGUUAAUCCUAAACACGACUCACAUGAGAGGCCAUACGUCGUGCCCGUUUCGGCGGUGAAGAUAUGGUCCAGGUUCGAGGAAUACCUGAGCGCAAUUCCUUGUCGGGUAAAUUCCGACGUGCACGAAUGGCGUAAUGACUGGGCAGCUGUCUCGAGGAUUCGCUCGGUGAAAAUGCACUUCCGGUGAAGAUGCCGGAUACCUGUAGUUAGACGAAAAGACCCCAGGAGCUUUACUACAGCUUCGUAUUGGCCCUGCGGGAUGUAUGCGUAGCAUAGGUGGGAGAGGUUGAAGCGGCGCUCUUGGGUGCCGUGGACUCGUCAGUGAAAUACCACUCUUACAUCCGGCAGUGCCUAACCGGUAGGGCGGAACCCUAUCGGGACCGUGCGUGGCAGGUAGUUUUGGUGGGGCGCUAUCCUCCUAAAAAGUAACGGAGGAGCCUAUUAAGGUCAGCUAGGCGCGAAUGGAAACCGUGCCGAUAGUGUAAUGGCAUAAGCUGGCUUAACUGCAAGGGGGACAUCCCGAGCAGAUGCGAAAGCAGAGCAUAGUGAUCCGACCUUCCGCCUUAGACGCGGAGGAAGCUCAACGGAUAAAAGUUACCCUGGGGAUAACAGGCUAGUUCCGCCCAAGCGUCCAUAGCGACGGCGGAGUUCGGCACCUCGAUGUCGGCUCACCUUAGCGCGGGGGUGGAGAAGCUCCCAAGCGUUUGGCUGUUCGCCAAUUAAAAAGGUACGCGAGCUGGGUUCAGACCGUUCAGUUCCUGUCCCUCCGGACGGAGAUUGAACGGUCUGAACCCCGAGGAAGACUGUUAGCUGCACGAGACGCAGUGUGCGUAAACGACAACAAUUCACGGCGGCGCGGUACAGGAAUGUAGCGCGACCAUCUCAACUGAUAUCGGAAGAACCCAUCUCUCAUGGGCCAUUCCGAGGGAAGUCGCAAGACGCCCCGAGAGACUGCAUGUUGAGCACCGAGAACCGGUGAAGGUACAGUCCGAUCCUCCGAGUAAUCGGAGUAACGAAAUGCGUGAGACAGGUUGGUCUCCUAUCUACUACAGGCGUUGAUUCUUGCGGAGGGUUGUCCCUAGUAAGAAAUUGCUACUUCAGAGAGAGAUCUCUGAUGACAAUGCGGCUUAUAACGGUGAAGUCUACGGCUCACCUGGCCCGAGAGUGCGGUAUCCGAUGGUCCAGUGGAUAUCGAACUCGCUUGAGGACCAGAUUGACGCUACGAUAAUACCGUGGGAAGUCGAUCAAGUAUUACCUCCACAGACCUAGCGUAUAUCGCGGGCUUCUUGGACGGAGACGGCAGUCUCAUGCUCCAGGUGAAGCGCCGCGGCGACUCUACGCGGGGCGUGCGUUUCAUGGCGACCAUAUGUCUCUAUCAGGACACGCGUCAUGCAGCGCCGCUCUCGUGGGUACGCACGCGACUACAGUGCGGCUACAUAUCGCGCCGGAACGACGGCAUGACGGAAUUGCGUAUCAACGGCUUCGCGCAGGUGCGCGAAUGCCUCGAGACGCUCCUGCCAUACCUGCGUUUCAAGCGGACUCAAGCGAGCGUGCUUAUCAAGGCAUGCAAGAAACUUGAGGAACAAACGAUACGUACCAUACCGAAGCGCGAAUUGCGCGCGCUCGUCGCGCUCUUGUUGCAGAUUCAGAAUGAAAAUUAUGCAAGCAAGAGGCGCAGGACGAGCGAAGAUCUGCACAAAAUACUUGGUUUGACCCCGUAACGACUAGCGUUGAAAGACACGCUGAGUCAUGGGUUGAGGAAUCAUUCCAUCGAGAAUGACUGCUCCCAUGACUAAGAUGCCGCCGCCCUAGUCUGCCACGUGGCGGAAAGGGCGAAGAUAUAGUCUGCGCUCCUGGAAACAGGGGAAUACGUGACGAGAGGACCGGGAUGAACUGACCUCUGGUGUAUCGGCUGUCGCGCCAGCGGCACUGCCGAGUAGCUAUGUCGGGUAGCGAUAACCGCUGAAAGCAUAUAAGCGGGAAGCGCGCUCCAAGAUCAGGAAUCGUUUGAGGCCCCUCGAAGACUACGAGGUUGAUAGGCUCUAGGUAGAAGCGCCGCGAGGCGUGGAGCCGAGGAGUACUAAUGGCUCGAGUCUCUCGUACG